rnacentral:rRNA from 1 species
ACUCCUACGGGAGGCAGCAGUGGGGAAUAUUGCACAAUGGGGGAAACCCUGAUGCAGCAACGCCGCGUGAAGGAUGAAGGUUUUCGGAUUGUAAACUUCUUUGACCGGGGACGAAACAAAUGACGGUACCCGGAAAACAAGCCACGGCUAACUACGUGCCAGCAGCCGCGGUAAUACGUAGGUGGCGAGCGUUGUCCGGAAUUACUGGGUGUAAAGGGCGUGUAGGCGGGUCUGCAAGUCAGAUGUGAAAUUCCGGGGCUUAACUCCGGCGCUGCAUUUGAAACUGCGGAUCUUGAGUGUUGGAUAGGGAAGUGGAAUUCCUAGUGUAGCGGUGAAAUGCGUAGAUAUUAGGAGGAACACCAGUGGCGAAGGCGACUUCCUGGACAACAACUGACGCUGAGGCGCGAAAGCGUGGGGAGCAAACAGGAUUAGAUACCCUGGUAGUCCACGCCGUAAACGAUGGAUACUAGGUGUGGGGGGUAUCGACCCCCUCCGUGCCGCAGUUAACACAAUAAGUAUCCCACCUGGGGAGUACGGCCGCAAGGUUGAAACUCAAAUGAAUUGACGG